GCCUUCGUGGUGGAAUCGGUAUACACACAUGCUUGAGGUGCAUGGAUCGCAAGGUCGUGCGAGUUCGAGUCUCGCCGAAGGCA
rnacentral:tRNA from 1 species